rnacentral:snRNA from 1 species
GGAUGUGAGAGCGAUCUGGCUGCGACAUCUGUCACCCCACUGAUCGCCAACAUUGAUUCGGCUGAUCGGGCUGGCCAGGCCGGGGUCUCCUUCCUCCCUCAACGAUCCAUGUGCGUCCUUCCUGAAGCUGCGCGCUCAGUCGAAGAGGAUGACCACCCCUGGUAGAGGAGGACCGUUCCUCAGUCAGAGGUGUACCAGUAGCUGUGCUCCCCGCUAGAACCUCCAAAUAAGCUCUCAAGAAUAAAUAAAAAUUACAUAACUGUAGCUGGUAACUAAAACUAACUACCAAGAGAGUAGAGUAUGCAAUGUGUUAAUUAUUGAAACU